GAUGAACGCUAGCUCCAGGCUUAACACAUGCAAGUCGAGGGGAAACGGCAUUGAGUGCUUGCACUCUUUGGACGUCGACCGGCGCACGGGUGAGUAACGCGUAUCCAACCUUCCCAUUACUGUGGGAUAACCUGCCGAAAGGCACACUAAUACCGCAUAGUCUUCGAUGGCGGCAUCAGAUUUGAAGCAAAGAUUUAUCGGCAAUGGAUGGGGAUGCGUCUGAUUAGCUUGUUGGA
rnacentral:rRNA from 1 species